UACGUAGGGGGCAAGCGUUGUCCGGAUUUAUUGGGCGUAAAGAGCGUGUAGGCGGCCAGACAGGUCCGUUGUGAAAACUCGGAGCUCAACCUCGAGACGCCGAUGGAAACCGUCUGGCUAGAGUCCGGAAGAGGAGAGUGGGAAUUCCUGGUGUAGCGGUGAAAUGCGCAGAUAUCAGGAAGAACACCCGUGGCUAAGGCGGCUCUCUAGUACGGUACUGACGCUGAGGAGCGAAAGCGUGGGGAGCGAACAGG
rnacentral:rRNA from 1 species